UAUCCGCUGUCAAGAUUUGAAGAUCGUAAACGAAGAAGACUUGUAUUAUGACUGUCUCUCGGAUCCGUCACAGUCUUGUGUAAGACAGCUGUUUGUGACAUCGAAUCCUUAGUUAACAAGACAACACUAUGGCAUCUACUUGCGCUGAAAAUGUCCAUGGUCAGUGCUGGAUUGAGGGAUGAUCUUCUCCAGCAACUGUGAUCGGCAUGGCAACACUGCUGUUAGCAUCACUAGCUGAGUAAAAUCACCGAUGUUUUCAGGGGGCAAUGCAUGUUUUCCUGUUGUCAGAAAUGAAUCUUCAGGGCAUCAAAAAAUACACUGUUCACAGAUAAAUCACAGCAAGCCUAACAGACAAGAUCUACAAGCACUCCCCACCCAGACUGACUACCUUAGAGGUGGUUUUGGCCUUGUCCCGUGCAUUUUUGGCAAUAACAGGGAAACUAGCAUGUCACAGAAGGCAACUGGCAUCAGGCAAGUGACUAUCAACACACAUGGGGACCAGCAGCAAGCCCUCUUCCCGACCGUGAUGCCCGUGGAGUAUUUUGGUCCUCCCAACUAUGCUACCUUCAAGGCCCAACUUACACAAAGCAGCUAUGGAAGAAGUGGAGCCAGCCAAGCGGGAGCUUCGGAAUGUGAGAAGUCAGUGGAGAAUCAGCACAGUCAGGCAGUGGUCAAUAAAACAGUUCAGUGUGAUAUCUGUGGAGACGUCAUAAAAGACUUGUAUGAAUUUAGAACUAUAAAGUGUGAUGCUUGCAAGAAGAUGUCCACCCACACAAAUGCUGACCUCACUCGACCCCACAAUAAAGUGUACCCUUGCGACAUGUGUGACAAGACUUAUGUGUCUCAAACAACCUUGAAAACUCACAUGAGAGUCCACAGCGGAGAGAAGUCGUUCAGCUGCCCUUUCUGUGACAAGAUGUUUCUGUACGAAGGGAAUAUGAAGACGCAUGUGAGAACCCACACGGGGGAGAAACCGUUUAACUGUGAGGUGUGUGGGAAGAGUUUCUCACAGUCCGGAACAUUGAAGAAACAUCUUAGAAUGCAUUCUGGAGAGAAACCCUUUAAGUGUGAGUUUUGUGACAAGACAUUUGCAUAUUCUGAAAAUCUUAUCCCACAUCGACGUGUCCAUUCCCGUGAAAGACCAUUCCAGUGUCAUUUGUGUGAGAAAGUGUUUUCUCAACCAGGAUCCCUUAAAACCCAUUUGAAAUCACAGCAUGGUAGUGAUAAUGGUUUACCAAACACGAAACCGAUGACAAAUGGGAUUAAGAGUGAAUAUUUCAAGGCUCCUGUUUUGGAUGGAGAUGAGGAAAUAAAUUUGAUUUAGUUAGAUCUUUGUAACACUGUCCCACAUUAAUAGAACUUCUUGACUUUUGAUGAGGCUGUCUUCACAGCAUGUUGCUCAUGUUAAACACAAACUCAAAUGAGCAUCAAUUCACCGUGGUAUCUCACCAAUGUCUUAGUCCAAUGAUGGAUUUCAAACCACAGACCUUGUGAUCCGAGGUCUGAUGCCAUGUGCACAUGAAAAGAACAAGUUUAGCAUACCAGCAAAGAUGAUCAUGUCAUUGAUAACAUGACUCUAUGUCUGCUGCAUACUCCUGUCACUGAAGGUGGGUAGGGUACUGAGACGUAUUUUACUCAAUCAAACUUAAAUCUGCUCAGACCCAAAGGCACCGGUGUAGCAGCAAAAACAAUCCUGUAAUGGGAUUCAAACUAUGUACCUUCAGAUUUUAGGUCAGACACGUUUUUCUCAUGACCAAAAUGGUCAGCAAGGUGACAAGAUAAUGGUAUCAUCGGUGGGAUGCCCACACCAAGCUGCAUUUAGAUUGGCAAAUGUUUCAUCGAUUUUGAGUGAGUGAGUAUGGUUUUACGCUGCUUUAGCAAUAUUCCAGCAAUAUCACGGCGUGGGACACCAGCAGUGGAUAAUUGAUUUUGAAGCCUCCUUACUAUUACCAUGCUGUGAUGGUUUAAGUGUGUAAGUUUCAGUUACCAAUAAAGCAGGUGGUCUCUCUGUGUAAUUUUCAGUUACCAGUAAAACAGAUGGUCUAUAUGUGUAAGAUGCAGUUACCAGUAAAACAGAUGGUCUCAGUGUGUAAGUUUGAGUUACCAAUAAAACAGAUGGUCUCAGUGUGUAAGUUUCAGUUACCAGUAAAACAAAUGGUCUCUGUGUGUAAGUACCUGUGAAGGUCCGGGUUAGAAUGAACCUUCACUAACCCAUGCUUGUCGUAUGAGGCGACUGACGGGAUCCGGUGGUCAGGCUUGCUGGGUUGAUUGACACAUGUCAUCGGUUCCCAAUUGCGCAGGUCGAUGCUCAUGAUGUUGAUCACUGGAUUGUAAGUUGAUUCAGUUUCAGGCUCUUCACACCAAAGACCCGAGAACAAUUCCCCACAUUGGUACAAUAUGUAAAGCCCAUUUCUGGUGUCCCCUGCUGCGACAUUGCAGGAAUGCUGAUAAGCUGCAUUAAACUUUACUCACUCACUCACUGUUUUUCUGCGAUGCAUUCAUAUGCUUUCCAUAGCUGUUUUGCGUUUUAAACCCAAUGCGGUGUAAAACCAUACUAACUCACUCACUCAAUCUUCUGUUACAUUUUCUCUGUGGGCUCCUGUACCCGUGGUCCUCUGUUGAAGCAUCAAACAAACAGACACAUAGAGUAGAUGGAGUGUAUCGUACAGCAAGAGCGGAACCAUUUGACCAAAAGAAUAUUUAGAUGUUAUUGUGCCACGUUGGCACCCCUGAAUUUUUGUUGUUGUAAUGUUGUUUUAUUUGUGAAAGCUUGUGAAGUAGGUAAUGAAAAACUGUGGCCUUGAUUUAAAUCUCUUCUGUGGGCCAACUUGAUCAUCAGUAGUAUGAAUCUCAUGGAAAUGUUAUCUGUGAACAAUGUUUUGUGUCUGUUCAUCCCGUUUGUUAUCCACUGAUUCUAUGAUUCUGUAUCCUAGACAUAUAUAAUUCUUAGUCUAUCUAUGAAUUAAAACAUCUGUCCAGAAUUGA
rnacentral:misc_RNA from 1 species